rnacentral:rRNA from 1 species
UGGGGAAUAUUGCACAAUGGGCGCAAGCCUGAUGCAGCCAUGCCGCGUGUGUGAAGAAGGCCUUCGGGUUGUAAAGCACUUUCAGCGGGGAGGAAGGCGUUAAGGUUAAUAACCUUGGCGAUUGACGUUACCCGCAGAAGAAGCACCGGCUAACUCCGUGCCAGCAGCCGCGGUAAUACGGAGGGUGCAAGCGUUAAUCGGAAUUACUGGGCGUAAAGCGCACGCAGGCGGUUGAUUGAGUCAGAUGUGAAAUCCCCGGGCUUAACCCGGGAAUUGCAUCUGAUACUGGUCAGCUAGAGUCUUGUAGAGGGGGGUAGAAUUCCAUGUGUAGCGAUGAAAUGCGUAGAGAUGUGGAGGAAUACCGGUGGCGAAGGCGGCCCCCUGGACAAAGACUGACGCUCAGGUGCGAAAGCGUGGGGAGCAAACAGG